UACGAAGGGUGCAAGCGUUACUCGGAAUUACUGGGCGUAAAGCGUGCGUAGGCGGUUUGUUAAGUCCGUUGUGAAAGCCCUGGGCUCAACCUGGGAAUUGCAGUGGAUACUGGCGAGCUAGAGUGCGGUAGAGGAUGGUGGAAUUCCCGGUGUAGCGGUGAAAUGCGUAGAGAUCGGGAGGAACACCCGUGGCGAAGGCGGCCAUCUGGACCAGCACUGACGCUCAGGCACGAAAGCGUGGGGAGCAAACAGG
rnacentral:rRNA from 1 species